AAACAUCAAUGGCCAUGACAUGGAUUUCUUUUCCUAACCUAUUACCUACUUUCUUUGUCAAAGAGUGUCUUUUCUCCCUAGCAUCGGCAGUUGGAAAACCUAUCCAUCUUGAUCAACCAACUAUAAACAAGACAAGACCUAGUUGUGCACGCGUGAAGGUGCUGGUAGAUCUUAAAGGUGAUUUUCCUAAAGCUGUGCAAAUGAACAUAGAAAAUGUGCAGACAGGGAAAAUAAGGUCUAAUAUGGUUGCUAUUUAGUAUGAUUACGUUCCUAAAUACAGUGUUGAAUGCAAAAUGCAAAGGCAUAACAAAGAGAAUUGUAAAGUGGUCAAUUUUAGGAAUAAUGUAGAGCAAAAUGCGCAACAUACACAGGACAUAGCACAACUCAAACACGAGCCGCAAGCUGCUAAAAUUCAAAAACUGAAAAACGGAGGAGACAGUACACUUUCAAGUGGGAAAGUAGUGGGAGACCCUAGUAAUGGGAAUGUGGUAAGGGAUAGAAGGGGAAAAACAAAUACAGCCCCUCAGAUAACUACUGUAGUGGAGAACAAGUUUGAUGCUCUUGCUCAAGAGGAAAACACUCUGGAAGGCAUCAGUACAUCAAAGACUGAUAAUAUAGAAAUUAAUGUUAUUAGUAAUAAAGGGGAUCCGACUCAAGACAAAGGAAAAUAAGGAGUGAUAAUAUCAACCAAGGAGUGGAUCACAAAAGCAUUCAAAUCAGUCUUGCAAAGUGAUGCUCAACGGUCUUCUAUGCAUACAAUCAAUAACUUUGUAGAAAGUGAUGAUAAUGAGUCUGCACUGAAAAGCAAAGAGCAUGCAUUAGAGAAAAACAAUCAGCUAGAAGCAUCUCAAAGUAAUAAAGUAAGAAACAACGGGGAUAAGCAGAAGCCACAAAAUAUAGAUGAUGGGAGAAAGAACAUGGACAUGAAUAAAUGUCAUGAGAAGCAUAGAAAGCAACAGGGAGAAAAGAUGAAGGAAAUGCAAUCUGUAAACUUAGCUACGACAUCUACAGAUCUAAAUGUUAACAGUCCAGAGAAGCAUGAAGAGCUACACACUACUGAGGAUAAGCAUAUAUAAUGAAGACAUGUAUGCAGUAGUGAUAUCAAGGGAUUCAAUUUAUAAGGGUUACAAAAGUCCAGAGAAACAUGAUAUGGUGCAUAUGAUUAAUGAACAACAACAAGAAUUUUCUAAAAGUAUCAUUAGUGCAAAUACAAUUGUUCAGUGUCGUAGCAGCAAUAGUAUGGGUACGACAAGUGAAAAUCAGUGUACUAAGAGGGAUAAGAAUAUGGUAAUAUUGGUAGUUCCUACAAUAUUACAGUCUGAUGAAGACGAAGUAGUGAGGGUCCAUUCUGAAUCACCGAAUAAAGCUUUGCAUGACAUUCUCAUUCAUAAGGAUGUAUACGCAGAGCCAGAGGAUCUAGCAGAACUUAAGGGGGUCGAUUGUGCUACAGUUUCAGAAUCAAGUGGAGAGUAGAUUUAUAAUGAUGCAGAUAUUUCCCCAAGGGUAAUGAAGAUUGUUAAAUCAGCUAGAAAUGACAAUAAACAGGGUGAUGGUGAAUCAGCCCAACCUCUUCUAGUCCAACCAAAGAGACAGGUAAUAUCCUAAUAUUCCAAACAUCAGUGAAGACUCUAAUUUGGAAUAUUAGGACUAUGAGAAACAAUCUAGUCAAAAGGUGAACAAAGAUAAGAGUUUUUACUAUUUGCACUAGAACGUAGCUGCUGGGAGUUCACUCCAGGUGGAAUAAUGUACAUGAAUGAGUAAAGGCUCUUUUCCUAUUAAAUAUUUAGGUUGUCCAAUCACUUACUCAAGGAAAAGGAAAGAACAUUACACAGAGCUAUUUGAAAGAGUAAGAGGGAAACUUCAAGUAUGGAAAGGAAAGAUGCUCUCAUUUGGUGGUAAAGAAGUUCUUCUUACUAGUGUUCUUCAAAGUGUCCUUAUUUAUGAUCUUUGCUAAAUUUUUUUGGAGUAAUAAGGAAUCAGGUAGAAGUAAGCACUAGGCAGAAUGGGCUAAGGUUUGUUUGCCAAGAGAAGAAGGAGGACUAGGUUUCAGAUCUAUGUUUGAUGUUUCUCAGGAUAUGUAUGCUAAAUUGUGAUGGAGAUUUAGAACUCAAAAUUCUUUGUGGUCUAACUUCUUAUGGAAUAAAUAUUGUAAGAAACAAAUUCCUACUUUGGUACAAUAUAAAGGCGACUCUCAGGUUUGGAAACA